rnacentral:rRNA from 1 species
AUUAAGCAUAUCAAUAAGCGGAGGAAAAGAAACCAACAGGGAUUGCCCUAGUAACGGCGAGUGAAGCGGCAACAGCUCAAAUUUGAAAUCUGGCUCUCGGGCCCGAGUUGUAAUUUGUAGAGGAUGCUUUUGAUGCGGUGCCUUCCGAGUUCCCUGGAACGGGACGCCAUAGAGGGUGAGAGCCCCGUCUGGUUGGAUGCCAAAUCUCUGUAAAGCUCCUUCAACGAGUCGAGUAGUUUGGGAAUGCUGCUCUAAAUGGGAGGUAUAUGUCUUCUAAAGCUAAAUACCGGCCAGAGACCGAUAGCGCACAAGUAGAGUGAUCGAAAGAUGAAAAGCACUUUGAAAAGAGAGUUAAAAAGUACGUGAAAUUGUUGAAAGGGAAGCGUUUAUGACCAGACUUGGGCUUGGUUAAUCAUCUGGGGUUCUCCCCAGUGCACUUUUCCAGUCCAGGCCAGCAUCAGUUUUCCCCGGGGGAUAAAGGCGUCGGGAAUGUGGCUCUCUUCGGGGAGUGUUAUAGCCCGUCGUGUAAUACCCUGGGGGGGACUGAGGUUCGCGCAUCUGCAAGGAUGCUGGCGUAAUGGUCAUCAACGACCCGUCUUGAAACACGGACCAAGGAGUCGUCUUCGUAUGCGAGUGUUCGGGUGUCAAACCCCUACGCGUAAUGAAAGUGAACGCAGGUGAGAGCUUCGGCGCAUCAUCGACCGAUCCUGAUGUUCUCGGAUGGAUUUGAGUAAGAGCAUACGGGGCCGGACCCGAAAGAAGGUGAACUAUGCCUGUAUAGGGUGAAGCCAGAGGAAACUCUGGUGGAGGCUCGCAGCGGUUCUGACGUGCAAAUCGAUCGUCAAAUAUGGGCAUGGGGGCGAAAGACUAAUCGAACCUUCUAGUAGCUGGUUUCCGCCGAA